GACGUUUGGCUAUUAACGUUGGCUCAAUGUUGGUCCAUCGUUUCAAAUUUUACUGAGAAAUGGUGGAUAUGUUGGCUAAUAUACGCGACGUUGGGCCAACCUUGGCUUAACGUUGGUCUAUAUCGUCUCCAUCUUUACUGAUAAAUAGUGCAUGUAUAUAUUGGUUGGCUAUAUGACGUUGGGCCAACGUAGCAAAUACGACCUAGUACCGCUACAUCCGGGUAAAAAAAAUUGCAUGCGUGCGCAUGCCCAUGUGCUCAUGCAAUUGCAACGUACGUCAGCCAUAUCCUGUCCAUUUGUCUGGAUCAGUUGCCGGGGAGUACCAACACUGCAUGAUUCCUCUACCCGUUCAGAUCCAGCUACCCCUACCUCGAUCAUCCAGAACAGCAUCAACAGCACCGAGGAGUCGAGGACCCCUUCGACAUCGACCCCAUCAACCUCCAGAACACUGUCGACCCCAACGACCCCAUUGACCUCAACAUUCAGAAAUAUGGAUGUCGAAGUUGUACCACCACAAGCUAGACAAGAUUUUGAUUCCGACUAACCCGUUCUUUAAAGGUCCAUUGCCUUAGGAAAUUAAAACUUUUAUGUCUUGUAUCAAGACCCUUUUAAAGCAA